UACGUAGGCAGCAAGCGUUGUUCGGAGUUACUGGGCGUAAAGGGUGCGUAGGCGGUCCUAUAAGUCUGGUGUGAAAUCUCCCGGCUUAACUGGGAGGGUGCGCUAUAGACUGUGGGACUAGAGUGUGGGAGAGGAAAGUGGAAUUCCUGGUGUAGCGGUGAAAUGCGUAGAUAUCAGGAGGAACACCGGUGGUGUAAACGGCUUUCUGGACCAUAACUGACGCUGAGGCGCGAAAGCUAGGGGAGCAAACAGG
rnacentral:rRNA from 1 species